rnacentral:lncRNA from 1 species
UUUUUCCAGCUUUUUUUAUCUUCUCAUCGUGGGGAGAUCUGGGGGAAAAACGAAAAAUGUUAUUUUGAUAUUUGUCAAUUAUUUAUACAAAGGGGAAUAACUCAGAUAUACAAUCCAUCCAAAAAUGACUAUUGUAAAAUUCAGAUUUUGAUUUAAAGAUAAACAUAGUUAAUAUGGGAUAUUGAGUACUUACACAAACAUUAACACAUUCUAGUUAUGGUAGUAGAAGUCCAGGGACAAAUAUUACAUGCACAUUACAGACGAAAAAAGAUAAACAAAAAAAAAAACGCCAAAUACGUUUCUGCUAAAAAGUUGAAUCAGAUAAAAGGUGAGAAAAUUAAGUAUAUUUGAAAAAAAAUAAGAAACA